rnacentral:lncRNA from 1 species
AAGACUGAUGCUGAGAACGGACCAGGGAUUAAAUGAGGAGACAAUGCUGGGGGAGACUAGUAUGCAAUCUGCCAUAUGUACAGAACUGGUACAGUAAGGAUUUCAUGCAGGUAUUCUACAGAUGAACAGGGGUGCAAAGGUCAGCUGGCUUCUCCACAUAUCAAGUGGUUUAAAAGGUGUUCCAAGUAGCUGGAUACUCACAGCACAGUGUCUGCCACAUUUAGAUGACCACAACUAAGCACCUCCUUUGUAAAGCAGGACACUCAGCAGCAGGCGUUGUCUCACAGAGAAGGUAAUUGCUGAAGUUUAGAUAACACCAGUUUCCAUCAUUUUACCACUGUUACCCCAAUUCCCUGAGUGUUUUUCAAUAUUUACCUAGUUACAGCUGUGGACCCAGAGGUUCAAGAAAGAAGAUGGUGGAAAAGGGAAAUAAUAUUCCAGAUGCCAGUGUGGGGUCAGAAGAAUACACUACAAUCCCAAAAAUAGCAACAAAAUGUGAGCUACUGGACUUGGGAAGAAGAAUUAACAGUGAAAAGCAAGUACAAAAACCCCCACAAACUGCUGUGCUGAACCAAGUCCUGCUAUGAGAAAGGAGCUCUGCCCUGGCAUCUAUAUAGAAGUGAUGAUCCUGCUCUUCAGAAGAAAAACCAUGGAGAAAGUAAAGAUGUGUAAGGGGUCUGGUAAUUACUUCUCAAGUUUGUUAUGGCAAAUUGUACACUGUUGUGAUUUUGCUGCUGGUUUCUGCCAAUAAUUUGUUCUUGGGUUUUAAAAAAUAGAUCCCCCAAAAAAAUUUGUUGGCAUCUGGCUCAAUCAACACAGAAAAAGUCACAAUAAAGAAACUAUCUUCCAAAGAAGGUGAGGACUC